UUGGGAAUUAAGUUUGGGAAGUUUCCCCUUUCCCACUAGCUAGGGCAUUUCGACCACUAUAGUGUUUAAAAGGAAAAGAAUGAACUUGGAGGCUCAUUUGUGGCUGUCUAAUUUCCAAGAGGGGGAGAGAGAGAGAAGGAAGGGAUUUCGAACCUAAGAGAGAAAAGGAGAAAAGAAGCAAGUUGUUAUCCCCAAAAUUUGAAAACGAAGACAUGGCAGUAGAGGUGACAAAUGGCAAAGAAGGGCUGGCUAAUCUGGCUUGGGAGUGAUCCGGUGGACCGGUGAAGAUUUUUGACUGACCGGUCAAGAGUCAUGACCGACCAGUCAUGUGCUUGACCGACCAGUCAAGUGUCAUGACCGACUAGUCAUGUGCUUGUCCGACCAGUCAUGUGCUUGUCCGACCAGUUAGGUGCUUGUCUGACUAGUCAAGUGUUUGGCCGACCAGUCACUUGUCUUGCCUGACAAGUGAGAAUGUGGCCGACCAGUGAAGUGUUUUGGCCCUUCAAUUUUCCUCCUGGGUGUGAUAUAGACCGACUAAACAGAACAGUGCUACGCAAAAGAUCCCAAUAACGGUUUCAACAAGAAUCGGUCAUACCUGCGCGGGAAUCUCUCAUUUUAUCCCGAAGAAGUAGUAUAUUGUUGUAUUUUGAAUAUUAUUAUUAAUUAAAUAUAGUAAGAAUAACAAAAUAUCCCGAUUAUGGGGGACUUCAUUUGUACGAUCUUGAGCCUAUAAAUACAAAGCUCAUGGCAUCAUAAAAGGGAUUCAGAUUCUAAUUUUCCAGAGAGAGUAUUUGUAUCUUGAGAGAAAUCUUGUAUUCUUUUCAUCUUCACUGAAGAAACUCAGUUGACUCAGGUUCAUCAGAUCUUGAGUGUAGAUUCAUAAUCAUAACUCUAAGUGGACUAGGCUAUUACCAACACAUUGAGGCUGAACCACUAUAAAAAUUGUCUGUGUCGUAUUUUUCUAUUGAAGGUUUUUUGUCGUUUUGA